rnacentral:rRNA from 2 species
CUGAGCUCAAAUCAGGUAGGACUACCCGCUGAACUUAAGCAUAUCAAUAA